UGACCUCGGAUCAGGUACGGGAUACCCGCUG
rnacentral:rRNA from 1 species